AAGUCGUAACAAGGUUUCCGUAGGUGAACCUGCGGAAGGAUCAUUCACACGUAUCCAAACGUUAAACAACCCCGUGAACAUACAACCUGCUCUGGUCGCCCGCUCGCAUGGACAAGCCCAGUAAUGGGACCUCUGUGCGCGUGAGAAAAACUGACAGCGAUUCAUAGAAGUAGGUCAAGUGACACGGCGUCCCCAAGUGACCAGUGAAUGAAAGUGUCGCUGGAGCGUCAAGGACGACUCUUCAAGAUUGCUAGAGGUCGACCACCGACCGGCUUCCGUGUAUACUGAGCUAACACCGCUCCCUUCCGAACCCCACUUUAUUGCCUUGCCUGUAAGCAUCCAUACGGAUCCCGAACAACUGUUAACAAUGGAUAUCUUGGUUCUC
rnacentral:misc_RNA from 1 species